rnacentral:rRNA from 1 species
UACGGGGGGGGCAAGCGUUGUUCGGAAUUACUGGGUGUAAAGGGCUCGUAGGUGGCCAACUAAGUCAGACGUGAAAUCCCUCGGCUUAACCGGGGAACUGCGUCUGAUACUGGAUGGCUUGAGUUUGGGAGAGGGACGCGGAAUUCCAGGUGUAGCGGUGAAAUGCGUAGAUAUCUGGAGGAACACCGGUGGCGAAGGCGGCGUCCUGGACCAAUACUGACACUGAGGAGCGAAAGCCAGGGGAGCAAACGGG